rnacentral:rRNA from 1 species
CCUACGGGCGGCAGCAGUGAGGAAUAUUGGUCAAUGGCCGAGAGGCUGAACCAGCCAAGUCGCGUGAGGGAAGACGGCCCUACGGGUUGUAAACCUCUUUUGUCGGGGAGCAAAGCGAACCACGUGUGGUUCAUUGAGAGUACCCGAAGAAACAGCCUCCGCUAACUCCGUGCCAGCAGCCGCGGUAAUACGGAGGAUGCGAGCGUUAUCCGGAUUUAUUGGGGUAAAAGGGUGCGCAGGCGGAGGUGCACGUCAGCGGUCAAACUGCGGGGCUCAACCCCGUACUGCCGUUGAAACUGCAUCCCUUGAGUGCGCGAGAAGUAUGCGGAAUGCGUGGUGUAGCGGUGAAAUGCAUAGAUAUCACGCAGAACCCCGAUUGCGAAGGCAGCAUACCGGUGCACAACUGACGCUCAGGCACGAAAGCGUGGGGAUCGAACAGGAUUAGAUACCCUGGUAGUC